GGUUAAGCGACUAAGCGUACACGGUGGAUGCCCUGGCAGUCAGAGGCGAUGAAGGACGUGCUAAUCUGCGAUAAGCGCCGGUAAGGUGAUAUGAACCGUUAUAACCGGCGAUUUCCGAAUGGGGAAACCCAGUGUGAUUCGUCACACUAUCAUUAACUGAAUCCAUAGGUUAAUGAGGCGAACCGGGGGAACUGAAACAUCUAAGUACCCCGAGGAAAAGAAAUCAACCGAGAUUCCCCCAGUAGCGGCGAGCGAACGGGGAGGAGCCCAGAGCCUGAAUCAGCAUGUGUGUUAGUGGAAGCGUCUGGAAAGGCGCGCGAUACAGGGUGACAGCCCCGUACACAAAAGCGCAUGUGCUGUGAGCUCGAUGAGUAGGGCGGGACACGUGGUAUCCUGUCUGAAUAUGGGGGGACCAUCCUCCAAGGCUAAAUACUCCUGACUGACCGAUAGUGAACCAGUACCGUGAGGGAAAGGCGAAAAGAACCCCGGCGAGGGGAGUGAAAAAGAACCUGAAACCGUGUACGUACAAGCAGUGGGAGCCCCACCACCAAAGCAUUCUCUGGUGUUGAAGGCCCUGCAAAGCAGCAUCGCGGUGGCGGAGCGUCGUUUGCGACGCCCAACACACAAAACAAGCGGUGAGUGCUUUGGGGUGGGGUGACUGCGUACCUUUUGUAUAAUGGGUCAGCGACUUAUAUUCUGUAGCAAGGUUAACCGAAUAGGGGAGCCGUAGGGAAACCGAGUCUUAACCGGGCGUUAAGUUGCAGGGUAUAGACCCGAAACCCGGUGAUCUAGCCAUGGGCAGGUUGAAGGUUGGGUAACACUAACUGGAGGACCGAACCGACUAAUGUUGAAAAAUUAGCGGAUGACCUGUGGCUGGGGGUGAAAGGCCAAUCAAACCGGGAGAUAGCUGGUUCUCCCCGAAAGCUAUUUAGGUAGCGCCUCGUGAAUUCAUCUCCGGGGGUAGAGCACUGUUUCGGCUAGGGGGCCAUCCCGGCUUACCAACCCGAUGCAAACUGCGAAUACCGGAGAAUGUUAUCACGGGAGACACACGGCGGGUGCUAACGUCCGUCGUGAAGAGGGAAACAACCCAGACCGCCAGCUAAGGUCCCAAAGUCAUGGUUAAGUGGGAAACGAUGUGGGAAGGCCCAGACAGCCAGGAUGUUGGCUUAGAAGCAGCCAUCAUUUAAAGAAAGCGUAAUAGCUCACUGGUCGAGUCGGCCUGCGCGGAAGAUGUAACGGGGCUAAACCAUGCACCGAAGCUGCGGCAGCGACGCUGAUGCGUUGUUGGGUAGGGGAGCGUUCUGUAAGCCUGUGAAGGUGGCCUGUGAGGGUUGCUGGAGGUAUCAGAAGUGCGAAUGCUGACAUAAGUAACGAUAAAGCGGGUGAAAAGCCCGCUCGCCGGAAGACCAAGGGUUCCUGUCCAACGUUAAUCGGGGCAGGGUGAGUCGACCCCUAAGGCGAGGCCGAAAGGCGUAGUCGAUGGGAAACGGGUUAAUAUUCCCGUACUUGGUGUUACUGCGAAGGGGGACGGAGAAGGCUAUGUUGGCCGGGCGACGGUUGUCCCGGUUUAAGCGUGUAGGUGUGUGUUCCAGGUAAAUCCGGUUCACUUUAACACUGAGGCGUGAUGACGAGGCACUACGGUGCUGAAGCAACAAAUGCCCUGCUUCCAGGAAAAGCCUCUAAGCAUCAGGUAACAUCAAAUCGUACCCCAAACCGACACAGGUGGUCAGGUAGAGAAUACCAAGGCGCUUGAGAGAACUCGGGUGAAGGAACUAGGCAAAAUGGUGCCGUAACUUCGGGAGAAGGCACGCUGACACGUAGGUGAAGUGAUUUACUCAUGGAGCUGAAGUCAGUCGAAGAUACCAGCUGGCUGCAACUGUUUAUUAAAAACACAGCACUGUGCAAACACGAAAGUGGACGUAUACGGUGUGACGCCUGCCCGGUGCCGGAAGGUUAAUUGAUGGGGUCAGCGCAAGCGAAGCUCCUGAUCGAAGCCCCGGUAAACGGCGGCCGUAACUAUAACGGUCCUAAGGUAGCGAAAUUCCUUGUCGGGUAAGUUCCGACCUGCACGAAUGGCGUAAUGAUGGCCAGGCUGUCUCCACCCGAGACUCAGUGAAAUUGAACUCGCUGUGAAGAUGCAGUGUACCCGCGGCAAGACGGAAAGACCCCGUGAACCUUUACUAUAGCUUGACACUGAACAUUGAGCCUUGAUGUGUAGGAUAGGUGGGAGGCUUUGAAGCGUGGACGCCAGUCUGCAUGGAGCCGGCCUUGAAAUACCACCCUUUAAUGUUUGAUGUUCUAACGUGGACCCGUGAUCCGGGUUGCGGACAGUGUCUGGUGGGUAGUUUGACUGGGGCGGUCUCCUCCUAAAGAGUAACGGAGGAGCACGAAGGUUGGCUAAUCCUGGUCGGACAUCAGGAGGUUAGUGCAAUGGCAUAAGCCAGCUUGACUGCGAGCGUGACGGCGCGAGCAGGUGCGAAAGCAGGUCAUAGUGAUCCGGUGGUUCUGAAUGGAAGGGCCAUCGCUCAACGGAUAAAAGGUACUCCGGGGAUAACAGGCUGAUACCGCCCAAGAGUUCAUAUCGACGGCGGUGUUUGGCACCUCGAUGUCGGCUCAUCACAUCCUGGGGCUGAAGUAGGUCCCAAGGGUAUGGCUGUUCGCCAUUUAAAGUGGUACGCGAGCUGGGUUUAGAACGUCGUGAGACAGUUCGGUCCCUAUCUGCCGUGGGCGCUGGAGAACUGAGGGGGGCUGCUCCUAGUACGAGAGGACCGGAGUGGACGCAUCACUGGUGUUCGGGUUGUCAUGCCAAUGGCACUGCCCGGUAGCUAAAUGCGGAAGAGAUAAGUGCUGAAAGCAUCUAAGCACGAAACUUGCCCCGAGAUGAGUUCUCCCUGAGACUUAGAGUCUCCUGAAGGAACGUUGAAGACGACGACGUUGAUAGGCCGGGUGUGUAAGCGCAGCGAUGCGUUGAGCUAACCGGUACUAAUGAACCGUGAGGCUUAACCUU
rnacentral:rRNA from 2 species